ACAUAAACAAAAACAAAAAUAAAGGGAUUAGCAAAGUUGCUAAUCCCCGGCAACGGCGCCAAAAUUUGAUGUGAGAAAUAAGUUAACACACAAAUUAAACCCUCUUUUUGACAAUUGUAGUAUAGAUGUAAGUAGGGUAUCGUUCUAGGCCGGGGAUUAGGAGGGAUUGCUAAUCUAUUCUAAAUUAAUUUAAAAAUAUUAAACAAGACUUAAGGACACAAAAUUAGGCUAAAAACUCUAAUAACUCGAAACACACUUAAAAUGACUCAAAA
rnacentral:lncRNA from 1 species